rnacentral:rRNA from 1 species
AGAGUUUGAUCCUGGCUCAGGAUGGACGCUAGCGGCAGGCUUAACACAUGCAAGUCGAGGGGUAGAGGAAGCUUGCUUCCUUGAGACCGGCGCACGGGUGCGUAACGCGUAUGCAAUCUACCUUGUACAGGGGGUAUAGCCCAGAGAAAUUUGGAUUAAUACCCCAUAGUAUUAUUGAAUGGCAUCAUUUGAUUAUUAAAGUUCCAACGGUACAAGAUGAGCAUGCGUCCCAUUAGCUAGUUGGUGUGGUAACGGCACACCAAGGCGACGAUGGGUAGG